UAAACCUCUUUCAGCAGGGACGAAGCGCAAGUGACGGUACCUGCAGAAGAAGCACCGGCCAACUACGUGCCAGCAGCCGCGGUAAUACGUAGGGUGCGAGCGUUGUCCGGAAUUAUUGGGCGUAAAGGGCUCGUAGGCGGUCUGUUACGUCGGGAGUGAAAACUCGGGGCUCAACCCCGAGCCUGCUUCCGAUACGGGCAGACUAGAGGUAUGCAGGGGAGAAUGGAAUUCCUGGUGUAGCGGUGAAAUGCGCAGAUAUCAGGAGGAACACCGGUGGCGAAGGCGGUUCUCUGGGCAUUACCUGACGCUGAGGAGCGAAAGUGUGGGGAGCGAACAGGAUUAGAUACCCUGGUAGUCCACACCGUAAACGUUGGGCGCUAGGUGUGGGACUCAUUCCACGAGUUCCGUGCCGCAGCUAACGCAUUAAGUGCCCCGCCUGGGGAGUACGGCCGCAAGGCUAAAACUCAAAGGAAUUGACGGGGGCCCGCACAAGCGGCGGAGCAUGCGGAUUAAUUCGAUGCAACGCGAAGAACCUUACCAAGGCUUGACAUGUACGAGAACGCCCCAGAGAUGGGGUUCUCUUUGGACACUCGUACACAGGUGGUGCAUGGUUGUCGUCA
rnacentral:rRNA from 1 species